UACGGGGGGGGGCAAGCGUUGUUCGGAAUUACUGGGCGUAAAGGGCGCGUAGGCGGCCUGCUAAGUCGGACGUGAAAUCCCUCGGCUCAACCGGGGAACUGCGUCCGAUACUGGCGAGGCUUGAAUCCGGGAGAGGGAUGUGGAAUUCCAGGUGUAGCGGUGAAAUGCGUAGAUAUCUGGAGGAACACCCGUGGCUAAGGCGGCUCUCUAGUACGGUACUGACGCUGAGACGCGAAAGCGUGGGGAGCGAACAGG
rnacentral:rRNA from 1 species